AGUGAACGCUGGCGGUAGGCCUAACACAUGCAAGUCGAACGGCAGCACAGUAAGAGCUUGCUCUUACGGGUGGCGAGUGGCGGACGGGUGAGGAAUACAUCGGAAUCUACUUUUUCGUGGGGGAUACCGUAGGGAAACUUCCGCUAAUACCGCAUAUGAACUACGGGUGAAAUCAGGGGAUAAUCGGACCUUGCGCGAUUGAAUGAGCCGAUGUCGGAUUAGCUAGUUGGCAGGGUAAGGGCCCACCAAGGCGACGAUCCGUAGCUGGUCUGAGAGGAUGAUCGGCCACACUGGAACUGAGACACGGUCCAGACUCCUACGGGAGGCAGCAGUGGGGAAUAUUGGACAAUGGGCGCAAGCCUGAUCCAGCCAUACCGCGUGGGUGAAGAAGGCCUUCGGGUUGUAAAGCCCUUUUGUUGGGAAAGAAAAGCAGCAGGUUAAUACCCCGCUGUUCUGACGGUACCCAAAGAAUAAGCACCGGCUAACUUCGUG
rnacentral:rRNA from 1 species